UAAUGAUUCGUCAAGUGCUCUGCAUAAAUUGGUGGUUUGUCUGUGUGGUUCUUGGUGGAUGUUGAUUACUAAAAAAAUUCUAAGAUUUCGUGCAAGAAUUUGACUGGGCGCUGCAGGGUGCUGUCUUCGCCACCCCCUACUACGGCCGUGGGAGCUCGUUGCUGCAGUACCCCCUCGUGCAGCUGCUUGGUCUCGGAUCUCAAGAGCUACCUCCGUGAUGGAGUUGUCGCUCCCGCCGCCUCUCGUUCUCGGAUCCCAUCGUCAGCAAGAGCGAAGCUUUCCUGCAGCGGCCUUGAUGGCCGCCGGACCUCCGUCGCCAUUGGUAUUGCCUUCGGACCAAGCAGCCCCGAGUCCAUCACCUCGCCGCCACAAGGAGAAUUCUGAAAGCUUGGAUCCCACCCCUUUCCCAUCGCAUGGUGAUCCAUGAUGAAUGCUAUAUGUUGAGUGUUUGGUUGCCCUGUAUACCUCUCUCCGAUUGCUACCUGUCAACUGCUAAAACGGCUAGUGUCUGUACAUAAAGUUUCAAGUAGAGAUCCUAUUCCUGUAAACAAUAAAAUGACAUGUAACAUAUAUCUUCUUUAUAAUGUAUCUGUGAUCUUGUACUCAGAUCAAUUCAUCUUGUACUCCAUUUGUCACAUGUUGUAUUUUUAUUGCUGUGUAUUUUUAAACUCUUGUUCUGUUACAAAGAUGAAAUCCUGAUCAUUGCGCAGAAUUGUUGAUUGCAAUUUAUGAUGGCUUGUUAUUUGCUUAAAUUGUCAGUUCUUUAUUGCACUAACAGAAAAACUUGUUAUUUAUUGUCAUCUAUCAAUGACUUGAUAAUGCUCAAAGAUAAUACAUGAAACUGCAAUUAGGUAAUCUAUCAAUGUUCAGCCUUGUCACUUUAUUCUUUUACAUCUGCAUGCUGCUUUCUCUUCUGAUGCUUUAGCUGCAAAUCAGAUUGAUAUAGCUACAAUUUUCUUGCUGCUGCAGACAAACCUAGGUACAUCCCUGGUUGGAGUACUGUUCAUGAUUUUAGCAUAGUUUAAGCAGUCUCAAAAGUCAUUUGUGUUAGCAGUUAUUCUUUCUUGCUGCUGCAGUUUCUGACUUCUAUGUUCCAUGGGAAAGUAUGGUAGGUUCUAUCUUCAAAAAUGUUCUUUCAGUUAGAUAUUCAAAUAUAGAAGUAGCAUAUUAAGGCCUGCUUUCUUUAGCAUGGACAUACAAAGAACCUGCUUUGCAGUUAACCUGAGCUUUGGAUCAGGCUCCAACUUUGGAUCAGGCAAUGCUGCUUCUGUGCUUCACUAUAAGUGUACUAGUGCAGUGUUGAUAUCAACCAUGCUACAUAGAGCAGCAAAUAUACUUAAUACUUGUAGGAACCAGAUACUAGUGCAGAGUUUGUGCACCAAAUAUUGCACAUUACUUGUUGCUGCAAAAGAAGUUAAAAUGUAUUGUUACUGUAAUAGGUUCUUUUAAAUAUCUUUCUGAAUCUGCUUCCUUGUUAAAAUGUAUUAUUUUUCUGAUAUAUGUAAUUCAGACAAGUCAGCUCCAUAAAAAAUAUAACCUUAGCUCUUUUUUGAAUGUUUUGUUUGCCUCAAGUACCCGGGUUCUUGUUUGUGUGAAACAAAAUUGUCAGCCAUAGUGCUGCAGCUGCUUACUUAUUGUCUAGUAUAUCGAAUGAUCAACUAUGGAUUGCUGCCUAAUUGUGAUU